rnacentral:rRNA from 1 species
AAAUUGAAGAGUUUGAUCAUGGCUCAGAUUGAACGCUGGCGGCAGGCCUAACACAUGCAAGUCGAGCGGUAGCACAGAGAGCUUGCUCUCGGGUGACGAGCGGCGGACGGGUGAGUAAUGUCUGGGAAACUGCCUGAUGGAGGGGGAUAACUACUGGAAACGGUAGCUAAUACCGCAUAAUGUCGCAAGACCAAAGUGGGGGACCUUCGGGCCUCAUGCCAUCAGAUGUGCCCAGAUGGGAUUAGCUAGUAGGUGGGGUAACGGCUCACCUAGGCGACGAUCCCUAGCUGGUCUGAGAGGAUGACCAGCCACACUGGAACUGAGACACGGUCCAGACUCCUACGGGAGGCAGCAGUGGGGAAUAUUGCACAAUGGGCGCAAGCCUGAUGCAGCCAUGCCGCGUGUGUGAAGAAGGCCUUCGGGUUGUAAAGCACUUUCAGCGGGGAGGAAGGCGUUAAGGUUAAUAACCUUGGCGAUUGACGUUACCCGCAGAAGAAGCACCGGCUAACUCCGUGCCAGCAGCCGCGGUAAUACGGAGGGUGCAAGCGUUAAUCGGAAUUACUGGGCGUAAAGCGCACGCAGGCGGUCUGUCAAGUCGGAUGUGAAAUCCCCGGGCUCAACCUGGGAACUGCAUUCGAAACUGGCAGGCUAGAGUCUUGUAGAGGGGGGUAGAAUUCCAGGUGUAGCGGUGAAAUGCGUAGAGAUCUGGAGGAAUACCGGUGGCGAAGGCGGCCCCCUGGACAAAGACUGACGCUCAGGUGCGAAAGCGUGGGGAGCAAACAGGAUUAGAUACCCUGGUAGUCCACGCCGUAAACGAUGUCGAUUUGGAGGUUGUGCCCUUGAGGCGUGGCUUCCGGAGCUAACGCGUUAAAUCGACCGCCUGGGGAGUACGGCCGCAAGGUUAAAACUCAAAUGAAUUGACGGGGGCCCGCACAAGCGGUGGAGCAUGUGGUUUAAUUCGAUGCAACGCGAAGAACCUUACCUGGUCUUGACAUCCACAGAACUUUCCAGAGAUGGAUUGGUGCCUUCGGGAACUGUGAGACAGGUGCUGCAUGGCUGUCGUCAGCUCGUGUUGUGAAAUGUUGGGUUAAGUCCCGCAACGAGCGCAACCCUUAUCCUUUGUUGCCAGCGGUUAGGCCGGGAACUCAAAGGAGACUGCCAGUGAUAAACUGGAGGAAGGUGGGGAUGACGUCAAGUCAUCAUGGCCCUUACGACCAGGGCUACACACGUGCUACAAUGGCAUAUACAAAGAGAAGCGACCUCGCGAGAGCAAGCGGACCUCAUAAAGUAUGUCGUAGUCCGGAUUGGAGUCUGCAACUCGACUCCAUGAAGUCGGAAUCGCUAGUAAUCGUAGAUCAGAAUGCUACGGUGAAUACGUUCCCGGGCCUUGUACACACCGCCCGUCACACCAUGGGAGUGGGUUGCAAAAGAAGUAGGUAGCUUAACCUUCGGGAGGGCGCUUACCACUUUGUGAUUCAUGACUGGGGUGAAGUCGUAACAAGGUAACCGUAGGGGAACCUGCGGU